UACGUAGGGGCCAAGCGUUGUCCGGAUUUAUUGGGCGUAAAGAGCUCGUAGGCGGUUCGGCAAGUCAGCUGUGAAAUCUCCACGCUCAACGUGGAGGGGUCAGCUGAUACUGCUGUGACUCGAGUCCGGUAGGGGAGUGUGGAAUUCCUGGUGUAGCGGUGAAAUGCGCAGAUAUCAGGAGGAACACCGAUGGCGAAGGCAGGUCUCUGGGCCACUACUGACGCUGAGAAGCGAAAGCAUGGGGAGCGAACAGG
rnacentral:rRNA from 1 species